AAUCUUCCACAAUGGGCGAAAGCCUGAUGGAGCAACGCUGCGUGAGUGAUGAAGGUUCUCGGGUCGUAAAACUCUGUUGUAAGGGGAGAACAAGUACAGUAGUAACUGGCUGUACCUUGACGGUACCUUAUUAGAAAGCGACGGUUGACUACGUGCCAGCAGCCGCGGUAAUACGUAGGUGGAAAGCGUUGUCCGGAAUUAUUGGGCGUAAGGCGCGCGCCGGUGGUUUCUUAAGUCUGAUGUGAAAGCCCGCGGCUCAACCGUGGAGGGUCAUUGGAAACUGGGAGACUUGAGUGCAGAAGAGGAUAGUGGAAUUCCAAGUGUAGCGGUAAAAUGCGUAGAGAUUUGGAGGAACACCAGUGGCGAAGGCGACUAUCUAGUCUGUAACUGACACUGAGGCGCGAAAGCGUGGGGAGCAAACAGG
rnacentral:rRNA from 1 species